UACGGAGGGUGCGAGCGUUGUCCGGAAUCACUGGGCGUAAAGGGCGCGUAGGCGGCGCGGGAAGUCCGUGGUGAAAGCCCGAGGCUCAACUUCGGGUCGGCCAUGGAUACUCCUGGGCUCGAGCACUGUAGAGGCAGGUGGAAUUCCGGGUGUAGCGGUGGAAUGCGUAGAGAUCCGGAAGAACACCGGUGGCGAAGGCGGCCUGCUGGGCAGUGACCGUAAGGUCUUAAAAGCUGACGCUGAGGCGCGACAGCGUGG
rnacentral:rRNA from 1 species